rnacentral:rRNA from 1 species
UACGAAGGGGGCUAGCGUUGCUCGGAAUCACUGGGCGUAAAGCGCACGUAGGCGGCUUUUUAAGUCAGGGGUGAAAUCCUGGAGCUCAACUCCAGAACUGCCUUUGAUACUGGGAAGCUUGAGUCCGGGAGAGGUGAGUGGAACUCCGAGUGUAGAGGUGAAAUUCGUAGAUAUUCGGAAGAACACCAGUGGCGAAGGCGGCUUACUGGUCCGGUUCUGACGGCUG